CAGUAGCCGCGGGAAUACGGAGGGUGCAAGCGUUAUCCGGAUUUAUUGGGUUUAAAGGGUCCGUAGGCGGACUUAUAAGUCAGUGGUGAAAGCCUGUCGCUUAACGAUAGAACUGCCAUUGAUACUGUAAGUCUUGAGUAUAUUUGAGGUAGCUGGAAUAAGUAGUGUAGCGGUGAAAUGCAUAGAUAUUACUUAGAACACCAAUUGCGAAGGCAGGUUACCAAGAUAUAACUGACGCUGAGGGACGAAAGCGUGGGUAGCGAACAGGAUUAGAUACCCGCGUAGUCCCUGUCUCUUAUAC
rnacentral:rRNA from 1 species